UUGCACGCUGGCGGCAUGCUUUACACAUGCCCGUCGCACGGCAGCGCGGGCUUCGGCCUGGCGGCGAGUGGCGAACGGGUGAGUAAUACAUCGGAACGUGCCCAGUAGUGGGGGAUAGCUCGGCGAAAGCCGGAUUAAUACCGCAUACGACCUGAGGGUGAAAGCGGGGGAUCUUCGGACCUCGCGCUAUUGGAGCGGCCGAUGGCAGAUUAGCUAGUUGGUGGGGUAAAGGCCUACCAAGGCGACGAUCUGUAGCUGGUCUGAGAGGACGACCAGCCACACUGGGACUGAGACACGGCCCAGACUCCUACGGGAGGCAGCAGUGGGGAAUUUUGGACAAUGGGCGAAAGCCUGAUCCAGCAAUGCCGCGUGUGUGAUGAAGGCCUUCGGGUUGUAAAGCACUUUUGGCGGGAACGAAAAGGACUGUGCCAAUACCACGGUUCGAUGACGGUACCCGCAGAAUAAGCACCGGCUAACUACGUG
rnacentral:rRNA from 1 species